rnacentral:misc_RNA from 1 species
UCCAAGAGUCCCGGAUCCACUUA